ACCUCACUUUUUCGAGUUUUCCCAAGGUGGUGUUCUACAACAAAGCACGACAGUCUCGUUUACCUGUUAGAAAUAAUCACGGAACCUGAGAGUGGUCCCAGUGUGUUUAAUUUCCGCUGCCGUUCAUGCAUGCUUGGUGCCUGCUUUUAAAGUACAAUGUGAUGCAACUACAGAUGCCUUCACGCUCAAGCUGGUAACACCCCCCUCCCCUUCGUAACAGGCUGGAAUGAAUACCCAAAAGUAGGCUGUAUAUAUUAUACACAAUCCCCUGAUUUAAACCGCUAAUCAGCCUACAUUCAUCGGCCUUGAAAAGACGCUCCAAUUUAGGUAACAGGUGUAAACAGUAUUUCUCACAUAGAUUUUUCUUUUGUAGUUACGCAGGAAGUAAACGAAAUAAUAUUCAGAUACCAUUUCAUGAAAACAAUGUAGGUAGCUUUUCACAGAAGUACCCGCGUGAUACAUCAGGACCUGGUGCAAAGAAAGAAGGUUCAACUGUGUCAAAUGAUUGGUGGAAAGCACAGACUGCAUCAACCCAACGGACUUCCAGAUCAGUCCCAGCCACCAGCAACCUUUCGCUGUCCUGUUCAAACUGGGGACAGAUGUCCAGGACUGACGGGGUUACUGUGAGGUGUUCAGACACGCAGCACAAGAAACGAGACGCAGUGGCAGCUGGACCUGCGACUGGGGAAUGGACUGUAAGGGCCCGUUCACUCAUCCAUUCAUUCUCUUCUUGUAAAUGCUGGUGACCACUUCCUAAGCGCAGGCACUGAGCAAGGGGCUGGAGAUACAGAGCUUUUCUCCCUGAGGCCUCUUGGGAGAGCGGAGUCCUGUCUGCAGGUAACGACCGCUCGCAGGGCAGGACAGGGCUGGGCUGAGGGACGUGCCCAGGGUGGUGGGGGCACACUGAGAGGGGACAGCUCAAGCUGUACUGAUUAGAAACCAGUAAGACCCAUGUUCCGGGAUUUUCUAACAGCGCUGUGAGGUUGGAGUUGUUGGGAAUGUGGAAGGAGGAGGGAAAGAUUAGGGUGAAAGGGGAGACGGGGUGAAGCAGGAGAAAGGAAAAUGAGGACCCCUGAGGAACAAGUGCAUCGAACGUGAACAUCUCCCUACACAGGCGGGCCCGUUAAGUCAUCCACCCAGUGGAUCUGAUUAAAAGAAAAGGGAUACUUACAUUAGCUGGGUUCAUAUUUAGAAUAUUUUAAAUAAUUCAGACGAACGUCUGGAUACCUGAGACACAUUUACUAGGUGUCAGGGUUCUGCAACCAAACCCAGUGUGUGUGUGUGUGGGGGGGGGGGGGUUCCCCACACCACCGACUCUCGGACACCGGUGGGGUGUCCUACAGUUCAGCUCAGUUCUGAUGUGUUCUACCCACAGACGGCAUCAGACCCCAAGGGUCGGGGCUCCUAAAGGCUCAGUCCCUAAAGACCACGUCUCCCACCUGCAGACACUGGUCCCAAGUCUAGGUUGUCACCUGUGCGUCUGAUGACCUCCUAUAGAUCAAAAGUUUCGAAGACCCCCCCCCCACAACCUCCUUAGAUGCAACUAAUUUCCAAGAAUGGCUCAUAGAACUUAAGAGAAAUAUUUGACUUACUAGGUUACCUGUUUGUUAUAAAAAAAUAUAUAUAUAUAUAACUCGGGAACAGCCAGAUGGACGAGACACAGAGACCAAGGUCCAGGGGAGGGGGUGGAGCUUCUAUGCUCAGAGCGAGUCACACUCCCAGCCCACGGUCACCAACCCGGAACCUCUCUGAACCCCAUGCUGUUAGAUUUUCAUAGAGGCUUCAAUCCACAGACACAACUGAUUAAUUUAUUGGCCACUAAGGACUGAACUCAACCUUCAGCCCCUCUCCCUUCCUCAGAGGCAGGGGUGGGGCUGAAAGUUCAAACCUUCCAAUUAGUCCUUGGUUCCUCUGCCGAACACCAGCCCUUAGAUGCUCUCCUCAUUCACACAACAAAAGGCACCUUUAUCACUCACUCUCAUCACUUAGGAAAUUUCCAGCAGUUUCAGGAGCUCCAUACCAGGACUGUGCCAAGACCAAGUCAGUCUCAUUCUAAAUCCCAGUCAAGUCAGUCAAAGGCGACUGCUUGGUACGAGGUGCUGCGCCUCACCCUGCGGACACAGCACAGUUAGCGUGGAGCCCAGAGGAGGAGCCUGGGGCUCAGAGAAAACUCACAAGACUCCGGACCAAAACGCAUCCCUUUCUCGACCCCACCGUGGAGUUCCGGAAUCCUGCUGGCUGCACCUGAAGCAUUUUUGCGUAAGAUUUUUCACAAGCCCAUUUAUGCAGCUAAUUCCUUUCAUAAUCUGUGGUGUUAAGAAUUCGCCAGCGGGUAACCAAGACAGUUUAUAUAAGCAUGUUUAAUCUCUGUGUGAAUUCUGUCUUCCUGCUUUCCUUUAUAUCCCAUGCACACUUCCAUUUUUCAGUGUAGACGUAAGAACAUACUUGUAAGUAUCUAUCUAUCUCAAGACUGAAACUUUGUCGCUUUAUUGAAAUCAUUCAAGCACAGAAGUGGAUGGACGAGCCACGUGCAGGAGGCAGAGAAGUGAUGCUUCAGUCCUGGGAGGGUGUCCCUGACUCUGAGUGUGUCCGCCACUUCCCGCCAGAGACAGAAAUGGAACACAGGCCACUUCUUCACGUUCUGAGUUCCAGUUGUAUGAGGCAACUCUGUAAAACAUUCGGCGCCUGUCAACCCUGGAAAUAGUCCGCCUGCCUCCAAAAAGGCAA